rnacentral:rRNA from 1 species
GGCACGCCUAAUACAUGCAAGUCGAACGGAGUAGCAAUACUUAGUGGCAGACGGGUGAGUAACAUGUGGGUAUCUUCCCUUUGGUGAGGAAUAACACGAGGAAACUUGUGCUAAUACCUCAUAAGUCUUUACGGAGAAAGCUUUAUGCGCCAAUGGAUGAGCCUGCACUUGAUUAGUUUGUUGGUGGGGUAAUGGCCUACCAAGACUGUGAUCAAUAGCUGAUUUGAGAGGAUGAUCAGCCACAUUGGGACUGAGACACGGCCCAAACUCCUACGGGAGGCAGCAGUAGGGAAUCUUGCACAAUGGAGGAAACUCUGAUGCAGCGAUGCCGCGUGAGUGAAGAAGGCCUUUGGGUUGUAAAGCUCUUUCGUCGGGGAAGAAAAUGACUGUACCCGAAUAAGAAGGUCCGGCUAACUUCGUGCCAGCAGCCGCGGUAAUACGAAGGGACCUAGCGUAGUUCGGAAUUACUGGGCUUAAAGAGUUCGUAGGUGGUUAAAAAAGUUGGUGGUGAAAUCCCAGAGCUUAACUCUGGAACUGCCAUCAAAACUUUUUAGCUAGAGUUUGAUAGAGGAAAACAGAAUUUCUAGUGUAGAGGUGAAAUUCGUAGAUAUUAGAAAGAAUACCAAUUGCGAAGGCAGUUUUCUGGAUCAUUACUGACACUGAGGAACGAAAGCAUGGGUAGCGAAGAGGAUUAGAUACCCUCGUAGUCCAUGCUGUAAACGAUGUGUGUUAGACGUUGGAAAUUUAUUUUCAGUGUCGCAGCGAAAGCAAUAAACACACCGCCUGGGGAGUACGACCGCA